GGAUUAGAUACCCUGGUAGUCCUAGCUGUAAACGAUGAAUACUAGACGUAGUAACUGGAUUGACGGUUUCUGUGUCGUAGCUAACGCGUUAAGUAUCCCGCCUGGGGAGUACGGUCGCAAGACUAAAACUCAAAGGAAUUGACGGGACCCCGCACAAGCGGCGGAGCAUGCGGCUUAAUUCGAUGAUACGCGAGGAACCUUACCAGGGUUUAAAUGCAGAACGACAGGGGUGGAAACACCCCCUUCUUCGGACGGACUGCAAGGUGCUGCAUGGUUGUCGUCAGCUCGUGCCG
rnacentral:rRNA from 1 species